rnacentral:rRNA from 1 species
GCCUCUUGAUUAAACCAUAAGAGGUCCAGCCUGCCCAGUGACAUUGUUCAACGGCCGCGGUAUCCUAACCGUGCGAAGGUAGCGUAAUCACUUGUCCUUUAAAUGAAGACUAGUAUGAAUGGCCCCACGAAAGCUAUACUGUCUCCUUUUUCUAAUCAGUUAAACUAAUCUCCCCGUGAAGAAGCGGGGAUAAACAUAUAAGACGAGAAGACCCUAUGGAGCUUCAAACAACUGAAACACUUGUAUAUCCUCCCCUCACCUACCAACAUUUAACCUCACAUUUUGUUUCUAGUUUUAGGUUGGGGUGACCACGGAGAAAAAACUAACCUCCACGACGAAAGAGACAUCUCUAAACAAAAAGCUACAUCUUUAUGUAUUAACACAUUAACCUUUAUUGACCCAAUAAAUUGAUCAAC